AAAAAAAAAAAAAAAAAAAUUAUACUUAAGAUUGCAUCAUGUGCUAAAGCUGUUACCAAACAUCUGUCUCCUGCCAAUAAAAAGAAUCCCCACUGCUAGAGGAGAAACACAUUUGGAAAGACCCUCUAAGAUUCUGAAUGCAAAUGGAGUAAAAUAAGUUCACUUUAAAUUAUCCAUCAUUUUAACCCAUUAUCAAAGAAACUAUAAAGAUGCAGAUUUUUUCCAUUUUGAUCAUGUUUUAAACCUGAAAUAGUAUCAGUUUUAUAGCUGCUGUGUCUCCACAAAUGUGUGACAGCAGCUUUAGUGAAGUGAUGUUUUUUUUCUGAAUAUAUUAAUUUGAUUUUUAUGUCUUCAUGCUGACAAAAGAAUUAGUGAUUUGAAAAUAUUAUGGCCUCAAGGGGAAAGUAUGUCAAUAUCCAGUUUGAGAGCAGUUUUAUGAAUCCUUCACCACACUGUCUAACAGUAAAGCAAAUGCAAAGGUUUUUCUGUGAUGGAUGGAUGGAUGGAGGGAUGGAUGGAUGGAUGGAUGGAUGCUUUAUUUAUCUGAAGGGAUAUCCAUGAAAUCCAGCACUAUACAAACAAGGGAUAAAAACAAAUAAAAACUACAAGAUGGACAGAUCACUCAGGAGGUAAGAAAAAAAGUGCAGUUUCUCAUGUGAUAUAGGCUGAUGUGGUCAAACAAUGUGGAUAAACAGAGAACAGUUCAAAUUUUAAAUAGGUAAAAUAUAAUCUCUAUGUAUAUGAAGUAUAUAGACACCAUAAUGUAAUUAAUGACUGAUGUAAGAUUUAAGAUCUGAGACCAAGUAGUGUAAACAGCAUACACAAUAAACAGGUUUAUACAUAGCGUUGGUUUAAACAUAUUUAUUCAAUUUUUGAUAUUAAAUACUCUGAAUUACAUUAAUUAAAUUAUUAGUAAUAAAUUGGUAGGUAUACUAGCAUUUCUGUAUGCUGAUUAAUAAAGUGAAAUAAAUAAAAUAAAACAUGAUAUAAUCUCGAAGAUUUAUACACCUGACGUCACCAAAUGUCAUCACGCUCACUCCGCCUUUUAGCAUUUCAUUCAGUGGAAAAAAAAUGUUGGGGACUGGGGGUUAUGACUCCCCUGAUUAAGACUUGGACCCGCCAAACAGAGGUAUAAACAACAAGUCCGGGGAUGAAACAUUUAUAUAUCCUUCUUACCUGUAAUUGUAAAUGUUAAAAUAUAUUUCCCAUGUUCAUGCCUAGAAAAAUCUUGUUGUACGAUUUCAGCCACCCCUAACGUGGACCAUACCAUUUCUUAACCUUUACUCCAGGUGAACGUCUCAUCUGCCGACCUCACUCCACGGAUGUAUUGGUAGAGCUUCCACGCCUGACUCAAUCAAUUCUCUGCAGCUGUGCGUCGCCCGGACAUUGUUGGUAAAUAUGAGUAGCAGUUGCAAACUAUCAGUCUUGUUUAAUACACUUUACUUUCUUAUUUUCAGAGUUUCUGAUUUGGAUUGUGUCAAGUAUCUACGGAUGAAUGCUAAUGUUAGCUAGUUUCUAACUUUUGCCUGAAGUUAAAGUUUAGUUAACUAAUGUUAGCUAGCUGAUUGCGCACCCUUUAAUUUUCAGCGUUGGCCUGGCGUUUCAUUGCCAAUAUAAAAUGUAUAUAUUAUCGUAUUUUAGCAAACACUAGCGCUAAGUCACGAGCAGUAAGACAAUUAAGGAUUAGCUGUUGUAGAGAUACGUUUUGACAUCAAUAUAUUAUUUCAUUUUAAUGUGUUUUGUGUCUCUGGCGGUUUAUUUUACCUUUUUGACAUCAGCUUUUAUAAGACGCACCCCCUUUUCACUCAGGGAUUCAGGAUUUUUUUAAUGGUUGGUUUAAAAUAUUAAAAUCUACGUGUGCUGAAGGCUAAAUAAUUGUAUUACCUGUGAUUGAAAGUAAUUGAGUACAUUUACUCUUAGCUAAUGCACUUAAGUACAAUUUUGAGGUACUUGUAUGUUUGAGUUUUUCCAUUUUAUGCUACUUCCACUUCACUACAUGUCAGAGGGAAAUAUUGUACCUUCUACUCCACUACAUUUGUUUCACAGUUUUAAUUAUACAAGCAAGAUACCGUAAGGACUGUAACACUUCAUUUCACUGACGUACAUGUCUGCACUGUACUGGGUUCCCUUUCGCCCCCGAGAAGAAGUUGAGUUGAUGUCAUUGUGUAAUUCACACUCACACCAAAAUACUAACAUACCUUCUUUGUGUAUUCAACUGAUUCAGAAAGAAAUCACCCAUACAUUUUUACAGACGUCGAGGGAUAAAGCAAAGAGAAGCAAAUGGAUCUCUAUGGAGAGAAAACCAGAAUUCAGGUCCUGUAAUACCACCAGAUCUACCUUAAACCAGUAUAUUUGGAGUCCAAAAACUGCUCUCUCACUGCCCUCUACUGAUACUCUCUUCGAGGGAAAAUUCCCCUUUUCUCCGUUUCCCAUUGGCUGGCUUAUAACUCAAAAAGACUUUAUUACAUGUCGGAGGUUGCUGGCCAGCAGUGGAAGAUUUAUCCAUGCAGCAUGAGGACGAGAAGACAUCCUGAAUCCCAGCCCGACACCUACACGAUAAGUCUUCUGAGAGUCCGAGCGUCCAGGUGUCGGCGUGGUUCCGGAGCUCAGCACUCGUCUUCUGCUUCUCUGAUGGGUGGAAUCAAGCUGCUU